AGUGAACGCUGGCGGUAGGCCUAACACAUGCAAGUCGAACGGCAGCACAGUAAGAGCUUGCUCUUACGGGUGGCGAGUGGCGGACGGGUGAGGAAUACAUCGGAAUCUACUUUUUCGUGGGUGAUAACGUAGGGAAACUUACGCUAAUACCGCAUACGAACUACGGGUGAAAGCAUGGGAUCUUCGGACCUUGCGCGAUUGAAUGAGCCGAUGUCGGAUUAGCUAGUUGGCGGGGUAAAGGCCCACCAAGGCGACGAUCCGUAGCUGGUCUGAGAGGAUGAUCAGCCACACUGGAACUGAGACACGGUCCAGACUCCUACGGGAGGCAGCAGUGGGGAAUAUUGGACAAUGGGCGCAAGCCUGAUCCAGCCAUACCGCGUGGGUGAAGAAGGCCUUCGGGUUGUAAAGCCCUUUUGUUGGGAAAGAAAAGCAGCAGGUUAAUACCCCGCUGUUCUGACGGUACCCAAAGAAUAAGCACCGGCUAACUUCGUG
rnacentral:rRNA from 1 species